AAUCACCUACGGGAGGCAGCAGUAGGGAAUCUUCCACAAUGGACGAAAGUCUGAUGGAGCAACGCCGCGUGAGUGAAGAAGGGUUUCGGCUCGUAAAGCUCUGUUGGUAGUGAAGAAAGAUAGAGGUAGUAACUGGCCUUUAUUUGACGGUAAUUACUUAGAAAGUCACGGCUAACUACGUGCCAGCAGCCGCGGUAAUACGUAGGUGGCAAGCGUUGUCCGGAUUUAUUGGGCGUAAAGCGAGUGCAGGCGGUUCAAUAAGACUGAU
rnacentral:rRNA from 1 species